rfam:Haemonchus contortus, ISE/inbred ISE, WGS project CAVP01000000 data, contig: Hcontortus_39693
GGCCCAAACUUGAAGUAAAGUAGAUUAAAAAGAUUGUCUGACCCUACUAAACUACUCUGCUUCGGGUUUGUGCCC